UACAGAGGGUGCAAGCGUUAAUCGGAAUUAUUGGGCGUAAAGAGCUCGUAGGCGGUUUGUCGCGUCGAAUGUGAAAUCCCGGGGCUCAACCCCGGGUCUGCAUUCGAUACGGGCAGACUAGAGUUCGGUAGGGGAGUCUGGAAUUCCUGGUGUAGCGGUGAAAUGCGCAGAUAUCAGGAGGAACACCGGUGGCGAAGGCGGGACUCUGGGCCGAUACUGACGCUGAGGAGCGAAAGCGUGGGGAGCGAACAGG
rnacentral:rRNA from 1 species